rnacentral:lncRNA from 1 species
AAAAAAGAAGAGAGGGUAGCUGAGGAACAACAACUACGGCGCCUCCUAACAAAAAGGGAUCGAAAAAACAAAAUCAAAAACAAAAAAAAAAAACAAUGGAGAAGGUGUGGAGUGUGGCGGAGGCAGAGACCACGUGCACUCUCUUCUCUUCUUCUUCUUCUCCUUCUUCAUCAUCUUCAUCUUCGUUUUCAUCUUCGUUUUCAUCUUCCUCUCUUCAUCUGCCAUUAUUAACUCUUUUGACCCCACCUUCUUCCUUCUCCUCUUCUAACUCCAACCUACCCUCUCUCCCAUUCUCUUUAAACCCUUGUCUCCCUCUCUCUCUCUCUCAUUCUCUCUCAUUCCUCUCUCAUUCUCUCUCUGUGUUCUGAGAUGGUCUUUUGACUUCUCUCUACCCAAACAGGUUCGAAAGUUUUCAUCUUUUGCUGAUUUUGGUAUCUGGGUGUUGUAAAGUUUUGAUUUUUACUAUGAUUUGGACUUGGUUUUNN